rnacentral:rRNA from 1 species
UACGUAGGGGGCGAGCGUUGUCCGGAUUUAUUGGGCGUAAAACGCUUGUAGGUGGCUACGUCAAGUCGGACGUGAAAUCUCCCGGCUUAACUGGGAGGGGUCGCUCGAUACUGGCGAGCUCGAGGCAGGUAGGGGGAAGCGGAAUUCCCGGUGUAGUGGUGGAAUGCGUAGAUAUCGGGAGGAACACCAGUGGCGAAGGCGGCUUCCUGGACCUGUUCUGACACUGAGGAGCGAAAGACGUC